GGUUCUCGUCCGAUCACCGAAAUUAAGCAGCGUUGGGCGAGAUCAGCACUUGGAUGUGUAACUGCCUGGAAAUACUACGUGAUGUU